GAUUGGAUCUAAGUUGGGAGCUAUCAGAUGAAUCAAUGGUAGUUUGGGAGAAUGAGUUGUGGUGGGGAUGGUAUAUGACCUUAGAGAGAGAGUAAUAUUAGAAAAAUGAGUGGGCAGGAGGAGGGGGUAAGCAAUUGUUUAUAGGAUUGGCCUGGAUUGAUGUUCUGGUGUAGUCUGGAGAGGGAAGGCUAUUUUUGCUGAAUGGAGCUGAGGGCGGAGUUGGGUAGGACUGAAAGUUAGGGUGAAGCUGGUGGUGGGAUUGUGUUUUGGAUUAAUGCUGUGAAUUGGGUUGGGUGGCUUGGCUAGUAUCCUGUUUGUGUUAAAUUUUAUAACUGAGCCUUAGGUGGUUAGAGAAGAGACAGAGCUGCAAGUUGGAGUUAGCUGUUUGUUCAAGUAGGUGUGUUAUUCAAGCUGGGCAUAUGUGGGGUGUGUCCGGGCAGGGGUUGGCUUAGCCUGAGUUUGGGGGGUGAUUAAGCUUGAGUAAGACAGUUGCAUUCAUCAGAGCAGAGCCGUGGCUGUUGAAAUGGGGAGAGUGAAUGCUGCGUGAAAAAUAAUCUGGUGACCUGUUCAGAUCCUACUAUGGCAACAGCCAAGAGCCUUGGAUUCCAUGCCAGCUGUACCACGGCAUGUGCAGAAACACCUGCAGAAAAAAUGAAAUUCAAUA